GGGGGGAGGCUGGAUCCUGGGCUGUGUCCCGGCGCCCAGUGCUUCUGGGCCUGCGCUGUUGGAUUAGUGCUUCCGGGCCGCAGCCCCCU
rnacentral:pre_miRNA from 1 species